UACGUAGGGGGCUAGCGUUGUCCGGAAUCAUUGGGCGUAAAGAGCGUGUAGGCGGUCCGGUAAGUCCGCUGUGAAAGUCGGGGGCUCAACCCUCGAAUGCCGGUGGAUACUGUCGGGCUAGAGUGCGGAAGAGGCGAGUGGAAUUCCUGGUGUAGCGGUGAAAUGCGCAGAUAUCAGGAGGAACACCUAUUGCGAAGGCAGCUCGCUGGGAUGUAACUGACGCUGAGACGCGAAAGCGCGGGGAGCAAACAGG
rnacentral:rRNA from 1 species